rnacentral:rRNA from 1 species
AUUGAACGCUGGCGGCAGGCCUAACACAUGCAAGUCGAACGGUAACAGGAAGCAGCUUGCUGCUUCGCUGACGAGUGGCGGACGGGUGAGUAAUGUCUGGGAAGCUGCCUGAUGGAGGGGGAUAACUACUGGAAACGGUAGCUAAUACCGCAUAAUGUCGCAAGACCAAAGAGGGGGACCUUCGGGCCUCUUGCCAUCGGAUGUGCCCAGAUGGGAUUAGCUUGUUGGUGGGGUAACGGCUCACCAAGGCGACGAUCCCUAGCUGGUCUGAGAGGAUGACCAGCCACACUGGAACUGAGACACGGUCCAGACUCCUACGGGAGGCAGCAGUGGGGAAUAUUGCACAAUGGGCGCAAGCCUGAUGCAGCCAUGCCGCGUGUAUGAAGAAGGCCUUCGGGUUGUAAAGUACUUUCAGCGGGGAGGAAGGGAGUAAAAUUAAUACCUUUGCUCAUUGACGUUACCCGCAGAAGAAGCACCGGCUAACUCCGUG